UUGCCACUACAUUUCAGCCUUGCAUACACAGGUUGCCUGAAUACAUUGUGUAGGUCACACUAUUUCUACUGGCACUGGAGCUAGAGAAUUUGGGUCUGAAGGAUGAGAAAUGUCCCUACACCCAUGAAACAGAAUUCCCUGCUUAUUGGCAGCAGUGUCCUUCCAAGUCCUGCCUGUAUUCAGAGGGGAGAAUGUCUGGGACCGUUAAAUACCGAAGCAUUGGCAAAAAAGCUCCCUAUCCAGUGACCAAUUCAGCCCCUGUAGAUAACACUUCUUAGAAUAGACACUGGUAUCUAGACCCGCCUGUCAGGACGGCACCAUGGACGAAUGCCGCAGCGUAUGGCCUAAUAAAACCAUCCAGAGACGAGAUGAGUGUUCAGCAAAAUUUGUGUGAGCUCUUUCUGUAUCGAGUCCCUUUUCCUCUCUGAUACCUGUCUAUAUGUUGUGCAGCUGUUGGCUGUCCCUCUGCUACCUACCUAUAAUUGAUCUUCUGAAUCACCUAAAUCUGUUAUCAGUUAUUUUUCUGCAAUGUAAAUCUGAUCAUGGUACUCCUAUGCCCAGAGCUUUUCAAUGGCUUCCCACUGGCUAUAGGAUGAAAUCCCUCCCCCUUUGUACGGCAAGGAGAGGCUGUCAUGACCUAGAUCCUGUUCUCUGUUUAAUUCUUCCUCCCCCCACCUCCACCCCUAGCAUUUUAUAGUUUGUAAGAUCUAAACUAACUCCCCCACCCCCCCACCUCCUCAAACAGAAUUGUGCUGUUAUAGCUCUUUCUGUGCCUUUGCACACACAGUCCACACCCUUGGAAUAUACUUUUUUUUUUUUUUCUGUUAAGAUAUAUGGAGGCUCUUUCUACUAGACUUAUGCGCCCCCUGCCAAACAAUUAUACUAUGGUAACUUUCCAGUCUCCAUUCUCUUUAUAAGGUUUUGAGAGCAAGUCUGUAUCUUUUCAUUUUGUUUUAGCCUCAGCCUCUAGUAGAGUGUCACAUCCACUCACUAAAUAUUUACUGCCUUGUAAGGGAACAGUAGAAACAGUGGUAAACAGGCAAGGCUCCUGCUCUUAAGGAAUUUAUUUAUAUUCUAAUGUGUGUGUGUGGCACUAAAUAAGUAAGCAAACAUGAUGACCCCUCAUAAGAGGUGAAGAGGAAAUAGAAAGGAUCAGAUAGUAGGGGAGGGUGGUCGUGGUAGUAGAGGGAAGCACUAAUUUAGAAAGAGGGUUUGGGGGAAAGUCUCACUGAGAAGGCGGUAUCUGAGCUAAGGUCUGAAGUAUGACCAUCCUAACAGAGAGUUUGGGGCAGUGUUGAAAGCAGAGGAGAGAGCAAAUGCAACGCACCCUGAGAUGGCAAAGAACUUAACAUGUUAAAGGAACAGAGAGAACACUAGUGUGGGUGGAGUGCAAAGGGAGAGUGUGGUUCGAGAUGUGUUUAGGGCGAUAGGUAGGAGGCUGACCAUGGAGGCUCUUGUCUACUUCAGGUAUUCUUGAGUUGAAUGUGUCAUCUAACUAUGCAUAUGUCGGUUGUCCUCAUCCUCCAGCACGGCGUGAGGCUCUGCUUCUCCCCAGCUGUGUUCCCACUGAACCUCAUAGCACAGCAAUAAGAACAAGAGGGUCAUACAUUUCUCCAGUUUUCUCGGUGGAAUUGCACCAGAUUUGGAAACAUUAAGGGAAUCAACUUGUUUUCAGUGUUUGGUCUUCUAAGCAGGCCUUUGACAGGAGCCAUGUCAUAAUGAAUUCAGGAUGAUGUGAAUGACGAUGGCAGAGGAACUAGACUAAGUACACUUCGUGGAGCUCUCUAGGUAAUAGCCAGGACAGAGCUCCUUUCUUUUGCCCCUGGCCUUCGUCUCCAUCUGAAGCAGUGACCUAAAAAAUGAAAGAAAAGCUCCCAAGUUCAGUGAUGAGUUCACUCCCUACACCAGCAGAAAGUUAGUGCAGAACCCAGUGCAAAGACCACAAGUGAACUCUAGAAAUUUAACUACCUUUUUUUCCAAGAUGGUAAUUGGAGAUAUAUAUAUAUAUAUAUAUAUAUAUAUAUAUAUAUAUAUGAGCACUGAAGGAUGUAACUGCUGAUUGAAGAAUCUAAAAGGCUUCAAAAUAACAGGGAAGUGGACUACACAUUCUUCUUCCAGCUGCUGCUGUUCACAACACAUUGACAGUUAAAAUACAUCACACAUUCUCUUGUCCUUUCAAUGUAAACAUUUACUGUUUUAAGUGGACUAUAGAAUCAAACCGAAAUAGAAGGAUGAAGACUGAUAUCUCAGAGGUGAAACUAAACACUGGACUAAAUUAAAGAAAAGUAAUUUGCAAUCCAACUCAUAGUUACAUAUCGUACGUUACUCUGUGUUCUGGGGAAAGAUUAGACAGAGGCUUUCGUUGCUUGCUUUGCUUUUACAACCUGUUACCAGAAGGGAAUUCCGUACAGAACAGACAAAAUUUUGAAUUAGGAUUAAAUUCGGAAAAAAAAAAAAAUGGAACAUGUUGUGAAGGAAGGAUAGCCUUCUUGAUGUUGAUUUCCUACCAUGCCUCAGCAUUGUUUGAAGUCAAGAAACAAUACCAUCUCCAGUUUGUGUUGUUGUUGAUCUCCCCAGGAAAAAUGUGACCUCCUUCCUUCUCUUUACAUUGGCAUCUGGCCCAUGCCUCUACCUUCAACUCUUAUAACUUCUUUCAAAUUGUAUUAACUUUGAAGUCUAAGAGCCUUCAAAAUGACCCACGUUUGAAUCCCGGGCCAACUCGAUCUUUUUUUAUUUUAAUAUGGAUACGAAAUGUUGCUUAAAACCCCAGUAGUGAAAAGUAUGGCAUCCUAUAGAAUGUCACACCAUAUAAAAAAAUUCUGGUGUCCUUCCUUGAGGUUAGUGUUACCCUGAAAGGGAAAAAUUACGAAUGAAUAUAGGUUCACGUUGGUCCAAUUUCCUGUUUUGCUUUAAAUUUUCCUGUACAACACAUAAAUUUAUCAAACUCCUCUCCUGGUGACAAUACUUCAUUAGAUUACUUUAGUGAGUAUUGAGGAGAUUUUAAUCUUAUGAGUCAUAAAAUUCUUUUAUUCCCCAGAGAAUUUCCUGUGUCUGCCUGGAAUUUCGUGUCUUUGUAGUUUUAGCUGGACUCCUUGAAGCAGUUACUCUCUAAAUGACUGUGCUCUUGAGGUCUGUGUGUAAUACCUGGGGAGCCGGGUCACAGAUUGACUCCUGCUUUUCAAGAAAAUUGAAAAAUUAAUCCCUUUCACUGCCUUAGUCUUAGUAACUGUAUUCAGACAUUUUCUUAAACUUUUUAACCUCUUCCUCUCGUGAUGGAGAUGUUUUUACUUGCUGCUCCUGCAGUUCCCAGCAUUAAUCUUUAUGUGCCCACUUGGGCCUGCUUUUGUCUGUUUCUGUGAAUACAUCCCGGUGACUUGAUGUUGUUGGGUUGCUCGCCUGUCCCAUCAGGUUUUCAUCACUCACUUGGUGUAAAGGAAAAGGAGAUAGAGUUACAAAUAUAUUGGACCAUUUAGUAAUUGAUGAGACAUGCCUUUGGGUAUUCUUUUUUUUUCUUUUCUCUUUCCUUUUCUUUCUUUCUUUCUUUCUUUCUUUCUUUCUUUCUUUCUUUCUUUCUUUCUUUCUUCUUUUAUAAGCUCUUUUUGAAGAAGGUGAAAGUCAGGUUAUAGUGAGGCAGAACCCUGUGUGUUCUCAUCUGAAGGGUCCAGGGAAGUAAAGAUGAUACUUUUUGACAUUUGAGUUUCAGAAAUUCUUGGUGAUUAUUGCGAGCACACACUUCGCUAAUGUGAGCAGCGUCAUCUGCGUGUGCACGUCUCUGUGUGUUUUAAAAGAUAAUGCCGAGCAGUGUUCUGAUAAUAAAUGGCAGCUGAGCAUGCACAGAGACAACUGACGUCUAAGUCUGGAUAUGCUGUUUGGCAAGAUUCAUCUAUCAUGGGACAAAUGAAAAAUGUAAGGCUAGUAGAACAUUGACACUAACAAAUUAUUCAGAAGUUGAUUACUAGGAAAUCUUUUACUAGACUUCAAUAUGUUUGGUGCCUUUAAGGACAAAUCUAGAGUUUUAUCCAAAAAGCUAGGUACUUGUAUAAUACUUCUUUCAUGGCUACUUUCUCAUUUUUCAGCACAAGGCUUUUUCAAAAAUUUGAAGUCAGUAAAAGAAGGGAUUCUAUUUAUAAAGCAUAAAAGCAUAUAUGUACCAGGUUAGUGUUUUACUUGGUUGAUUAGUAUAUGAUUUAUUUUUAGAGUAGAGAAAAAAUCAAUGCAAUAAUUACUUGCUAUUUAUAUAUACAUACAGAAGAUAUAAGUCCUUGGAAUGUAGCACACAUUAUCAUUGCAUAAUCUAUAUCCAUAUGCUGUUUAUAACAAGCUGAAAUGUUAGACCCAUGAGAAAAGAACCAGAUUCUGGCACAGGACUGUUUUGUGGUAAAGAAAGAGGAAUGGAUUCCAAAAUAAUAUAUAUAUAUAUAUAUAUAUAUAUAUAUUUUUUUUUUUUUUUUUUUUUUUUUUUUUUUAAAGCUUGAUGGUUCCAUAGUAAAACAAGAGAGCUGACAUGGGGUUUGGAGAUAUAUACGUUAGCAUAAGCUGAUACUGAAAGCAGUUAAUUCCCUUCUUCGUCUGUGUGCUCCUCCAGCUCUUCUGAUCCUGACUUAGGUAAAUGCACUGGCUCACCUACAUAACAGGUGGAGAAGGAAAAAAGAUGUCUGGCAUUGUAACCUCUCCCCAGCCUCUUCCCUCAUCCGCUGAUGCGGUCCUUCCUUAACAGUCGUUUUUCCUAACAGAAGCAGCUCUGUGUUAGCCAGUGACACAGUGGUUGGAGUCUGUUGCCUUAGUGGCUGUAAGCAUGUCGCUAAUGAUGCUAGGGCCACACGCUUGAUUGCCAGUGUGAGUAUUUCGAUACAGUCAGAAGGCCUUUGUCCAGACAUCUAUUGUUCCCCACACCCUUUCUUAUAUAAAUUUGAGAUGAGGAGAUGUGUGAAUAUGGAAAUGACCCAUUAAAAAUAUGUUCUGAACUCAUUAGAAUGGCUACUAUUAAGAAACAAAAAACAAAAUAAGGAGUGUUGGAAAGGAUGUGGAGAAAUCGGCAACUACUAGUAAGAAUGUAAAACGGUGCAGCUGGUAAUGGAAAACUGUACAGCAAUUCAUAGCAACUCCACGUUUAGGUAUGAACUCAAACGAAUUGAAAGGGACUUGAACAGGUAUAUUUGUACACCAGUGUUCACAGCAGCAUUAUUCACAGUAGCCAAAAGAUAGAAACGGCUGAAACACCCGCUGAAAGAUGAGUGGGUAAACAGACUAAGCUAUAUACCUAAAAUGGAGUGUUAUUCAGCCUUAAAAACAGGUGAAAUUCUGAUACAUGCCACAACACUGAUGAAUCUUGAAAACAUUAUGCUAAGUGAAAUAAGCCAGGCACAAAAGGACAAAUAUUAUACGAUUCCGUUUAUAUGAGGUACCUAGAGUAGUUAAAUUCAUAAAGACCUAGAGUCCUGGAGACAGAAAGUAGAACGGCAGUUACUAGGGAUCGGGGCAGAGGGGGUUUGCCGGGGGGAGGUACUGUUUAAUUGGGUACAAAGUUUCAGUUUGGGAAGAUAAAAAAAUUCUGGGAGAUGGUUAGUGGUGAUGGUUGCCCGACAGAUAAUAUGUACUUAAUGCCACUGAACUGUAUACUUACAAAUGAUUAAAAUGAUAAAUUUUAUAUUAUGCAUAUUUUACUACUAUAUAUACAUAUAUAUGAAAAACAAGAAAAAACAUAUGCCUGUGUGUCUAUCUACUCUGUUCUUAAUGCUCCCCGAUACCACUUCACUUCUGAUACCAGACAUGUGGGUUUUCCACGUAUGAAGCAAUUCUGCACCCCCUGGGUAUCUUACUAUUUGACUCAAUUCUAACAUUGUCUACCUGGAGUUAAUAUCACAUCCCGCAUGUUGGUUAAGGGGUCAGUCCCACAAGACUCCCCCAGCCCCCACCUCCUCUUCAGAUGCCAAUUACAAGGCCAAGUUGUUGUUACCUGUGCUUUUGAUGGACCUAUAGCUAUAAGUUGAAGGUUCCUCUAACCUCCUCCUCAGGUUUCAUUAAUUUGUUAGAGCGGCUCACAGAACUCAGGAAGAAGUUUUCUUACUAGAUGCCCAUUUUGUCGUAAAGGAAUGUAACUCAAGAACAGCCGGGUGGAAGAGAUGCGCAGGGUGUUUAUGUGGGAAGCUCGUGCAAAGCUUCUAUGACCUCUCUGGGAGCGUGACUCUCUCAGCACUUCCUCAUGUUGAUCAACCUGCAAGACUUAACCCAAUCUACAGAGCCUUCCCCUCCCAGGAAUGUUGGGAGUUUCAACUGUCUAAUCACAAGGUUGGUUCUUGUGGCAACCAGCCCCCAUCCUUAUGUCACCUAGGGGCUUUCCAAAAGUCAUCUCAUUAACAUAGACUCAGGUGUGGUUGACAGGGGCUUGUUAUGAAUAACAAAAGACACGUUUGUCACUGUAAUCACUUAGGAAAUUCCAAGAUUUUUAGGAGUCUGUGCCAAGAGGGGGCAAAGACCAAACACUGCAUAUAUUUCUUAUGACAAGUAGAAUUACCAGUCUACCACCUAAUCUUCAAACCUGGAUCCCUUACAGCAAAACAAUCAUAAAAGUCAAAAGGUACUGACAUAUUACUAAGAUCUCAUUUAAUCGUUAAGAAUAAUGUAGGUCAGGGACUCCUGGGUGGCUCAGUCGGUUAAGCAUCAUGAUCUCAGGGUUCAGUUCUUGAGAUGGAACGCCAUGCCCCACGUAAGCCCAGAGCUUGCUUGGGAUUCUCUCUCCCUCUUUCUCUGCCCCUCCCCUGCUUGUGCUCUCUCUCUUUCUCAAAAUAAAUCAAUAAAUUAAAAAAAAAAAGAAUAAAUGUGUGUCCCAGGGAGAGACCACUUAGGCUUGCAUUGUUUCCAGCGGGAUCCUGUCAGGAACAGGAGUGAAGACAAAAUAUGUAUUGCUUAUAAAUCACAAUAUCACCGUAUAUAAAUAUAUAUUAUCUAAUGUUAUUUAUCUUCACUAUUAUUGAAUAGUUUUUAUUUUUAAAAGUACUCUCUAAGAGUUUUUUCAAACCAUCGUAAUUAGAGAUUAAAGAUGAGGAAGUUAGACUGAGCUACAACCGGCAAGAUGAAAAGAUAUGUGUUCCUUCCCUACCUUCCCAAAUCCUAAUUAAAAUAACCAAAGUAAUGUGAAAGGACUUCCUAAACUUUGAGAAUUCCUGCCAGAUAAGGUAGAUGAGGAUGUGAUUAAUGGAUGAUACCAGGGGAAGAUUUGUCAUUCUCCCUUAUGAGAAAGUGGUAUGGUUGUAAGUUAGAGGCGAUCCCGUCCGAACCUAAAUAAUACUUCUGAACUGGAGAGUUGUGAGAACUUAAAGGCCAGGGUAGUGCUCACAACAGGUGGGGAACCUUCCAUUUUGGAAAUCCUUCACUACUAUGGAGCAAUUAAAUUCAAAAGCAGUUGAAUGCGUUAGGUCUAAAGGCAACUGUCAUUGUACGAUAUAGGUAAGAAUUAGAACCUAUCCUUGCUGGACCAGGCAGUAACCAGCAUUCAGAUGGCCACCAGUCACAGUCCCUUCAUAUACUUGGGUAGGAGGACCGGCCACAGAGUAAAUUCCAUGUGGGAAAAAUGGUCCCUGGUCCCUGGCAUAAAAGAUUGGCCAAAGUCAGCGAAAAGUAUAGAAAGAUAGAUGUCCGCAAGGAGGACAACCUGUAACACCUGCCCCCUCCUGUUUCCUCAAUGUACUGGAUCACUGACCUGGUCGUACAAAGAUGAAUGAGGUCUUCAGCUCUCUGUGUAAGAGGAGACUCGUAACAGCACUUAGGUGGACAUUGAAAGGAUUGAAGAGGAAUAUAUGUUCAUGAUGGUUUGGGGCCGAUAGCAGGCCAAAGUGCACUUCUUUCAUUUGGUGUGGGAAGCAGAAAAUGAAUAAGCGUGGAACUACAAAAUAUUUGGCAGUGUGAGCAAAUGAAAAUAACAAAGCUCUGGGGAAAAGCAUACAUGUUAAAAAAUAUUUUUAUUGAAAAAAUAUUUGCGCUCUCAGUGAGAGAUAAAAAAAGUCUUUAUAAAAGAGAUGAAAGAUGAAAUGUCAUCACAGACCGAGAUGUAACACAGCUGGUAGAACGAAGAAAAUCCUGCAAGGAAACUAACCAUGUUGUAGCUGAAUUGAAAACUUCAUUAGAAGCAGUGAAGAAGCAAAUUGAAUCUCUUAAAUAUAUGCAUAGUAAUCUGGAGAGCCACCUGACAAACUAUUUUGUAAUGCUGAGGAAAAAGAAAAAAUAAUUGAAGAGUUUCGGUCCUAAGAUGACAGACAUAGAUGACAGAAAACAGUGAUGCAACAGAGCAAGUGAUUUUCCUCAGGAAGAGAGUGGAAAAGACAAAACAGCAAAGAAAAGAACGGUAAGAGGUAUAUUAAGAAAGAUAGGAACUGCAUGUUUCAAAGACCACAUUUACUGUGUUCCUGCUAGAAUUGGUGAAACAAUACCAGCAUCUAGACAUCCAGCAUUCAGGUAAAACAAAAAGGAGUACUCACGAAAAUAUAUUCUAAGCAUCUAAACAGAGAAAGGAAGUCUCUGAAGGAACAACAAUCAGUUCUGUCCCAGACAUCAUCUCAGCCUUGUCCAUCAAAAGACAGAUGGGGACCCCUGGGUGGCUCAGUCGGUUUGAGCAUCCACCUUCCGCUCGGGUCAUGGUCUCCCAGUUUGUGAGUUCGAGCCCCACAUCGGGCUCUGUGCUGACAGCUCAGAACCUGGAGCCUGCUUUGGAUUCUCUCUCUCUCUCUCUCUCUCUCUCUCUCUCUCUCCCUCCCUCCCUCCCCUGCUCAUGCUCUGCCUCUCUCUAUUUGUCAAAAAUAAAUAAAUGUUAAAAAAAAAAAAAAGACAGAUGGGCUGCCUGGGUGACUGAGUCAGUUGAGUGUCUGAAUUUGGCUCAGGUCAUGAUCUCACAUUUUGUCAGUUGAAGCCCUGCAUCAGGCUUGCUGCUGUCAGUGCAGAGCCUGCUUCAGGUCUUCUGUUCCCCCCCUCUCUCUGCACUUCCCCGACUCACACACACACACACACACACACACACACACACACACACACCCCAACCCCCCCCCCCCGCCCCCGCC